GAUGAAGAACGUAGCGAAAUGCGAUACGUAAUGUGAAUUGCAGAUUUUAGUGAAUCAUCGAAUCUUUGAACGCACAUUGCGCCCGCCAGUAUUCUGGCGGGCAUGCCUGUUCGAGCGUCAUUUCAACCAUCAAGCCUUCGCUUGUGUUGGGGCCCCGCGGCUGCCGCGGCCCCCUAAAUCCAGUGGCGGGCUCGUCGUCGUACCGAGCGCAGUAGACAUCCUCGCUCCGGGAACCCGACGGGUGCCGGCCGUGAAACCCCCCCCAUCAAGGUUGACCUCGGAUCAGGUAGGAAUACCCGCUGAACUUAAGCAUAUCAAUAAGCGGAGGA
rnacentral:misc_RNA from 1 species